AGCCUAAAGGACACAGAGGUGCUGAGGAGCAGCUCAUACCACAGGGGAUGCCAGGACAGGUUGGUCCCCCAGGCCCAGUUGGACCAACUGGUCUCCCAGGACCACCAGGGCCAAAAGGAGAGAAGGGUCAACCUGGUGAGAGGGGCCCAGCAGGACCACCAGGGCUGUUGGGACCUCCAGGACCAAGAGGACUUCCAGGAGAAACCGGCAUCCCAGGUCCCCCAGGUCCUCCAGGGCCACCAGCCACCCCAAGCCUUCCUCUCACCUUCCAGCAAGGGGUUCUCUACUCCCUCCAGCCCACAUCUGAAAAAGAAA